AGUAGAGUAGACCAUUUUAAUAAGACUGCAGGUAAUUUGUAGCACAGAUAUAGUCAACAGUGACACGACAAAACAGUAGAGUACAGUACCGGGGUAUACUUGCGUAGCUGCCACGAAUGACGGUACAGUAUCACGAGUGUACUUUCGCUGGACGGGCGUAUGCGGAGGGGAGCGAAGCGGCACCGUAGUUUCCAAGCUGCUGGUUCAUGCAUAGCCUCGCUACCUCCGACGUUCUGCGGUAGCACCGAGCAAGUUCGGUGCGCUACUUAGCCUUUUUUUUGCACUAUACUGUACAUAUACUAAAUAAAAGAGAAGAGAAUGAAAAGUAUAGGAAUAUAAUAAGAAGGAAUAAACCAACAGCAGAAAAUGUUUUUAUUGCUCAUUAUGACUAUCAUGCAACAACAAAUAGUCAAAUAUCAUUCAGUGAGGGAGAGCAGCUGGAGAUAUAUGAGAA